UGGGCAUUGGUUGAUAGAGUGAUUUGUCUGGUUUAUCCUGGUAAUAAAUGACACUCCAGCAUGCUAACUAGUUAUAUGACCCCUGAGUGGUUGGCAUCUCCAGCUUCUUAAAGGGACAAGUGACGUUCAAUCAUUAGAGUUUGAGCAGUAACAGGUUUGUGA
rnacentral:ncRNA from 1 species